rnacentral:rRNA from 1 species
UACGAAGGGGGCUAGCGUUGCUCGGAAUUACUGGGCGUAAAGCGCACGUAGGCGGCUUUCUAAGUCAGGGGUGAAAUCCUGGAGCUCAACUCCAGAACUGCCUUUGAUACUGGGAAGCUUGAGUUCGGGAGAGGUGAGUGGAACUGCGAGUGUAGAGGUGAAAUUCGUAGAUAUUAGGAAGAACACCAGUGGCGAAGGCGGCUCACUGGCCCGGUACUGACGCUGAGGCGCGAAAGCGUGGGGAGCAAACAGG